CAAAAGGCUUUUUAAAAAGCCACUUACAAGGAAUUGAAAGUUGUGU
rfam:Myotis davidii contig284869, whole genome shotgun sequence.